AACAGGAUUAGAUACCCUGGUAGUCCACGCCGUAAACGUUGGGCGCUAGAUGUAGGGACCUUUCCACGGUUUCUGUGUCGUAGCUAACGCAUUAAGCGCCCCGCCUGGGGAGUACGGCCGCAAGGCUAAAACUCAAAGGAAUUGACGGGGGCCCGCACAAGCGGCGGAGCAUGCGGAUUAAUUCGAUGCAACGCGAAGAACCUUACCAAGGCUUGACAUACACCGGAAACGGCCAGAGAUGGUUGCCCCCUUGUGGUCGGUGUACAGGUGGUGCAUGGUUGUCGUCAGCUCGUGUCGUGAGAUGUUGGGUUAAGUCCCGCAACGAGCGCAACCCUCGUUCUAUGUUGCCAGCGCGUUAUGGCGGGGACUCAUAGGAGACUGCCGGGGUCAACUCGGAGGAAGGUGGGGAUGACGUCAAAUCAUCAUGCCCCUUAUGUCUUGGGCUUCACGCAUGCUACAAUGGCCGGUACAAAGGGCUGCAAUACCGUAAGGUGGAGCGAAUCCCAAAAAGCCGGUCCCAGUUCGGAUUGAGGUCUGCAACUCGACCUCAUGAAGUCGGAGUCGCUAGUAAUCGCAGAUCAGCAACGCUGCGGUGAAUACGUUCCCGGGUCUUGUACACACCGCCCGUCAAGUCAUGAAAGUCGGUAACACCUGAAGCCGGUGGCCCAACCCUUGUGGAGGGAGCCGUCGAAGGUGGGAUCGGAAAUUAGGACUAAGUCGUAACAAGGUA
rnacentral:rRNA from 1 species